GGGGACAGACGGGGAUACACACGAAAAGAAAACUCUCUGAAUUCAGAAUUCUCUGCUUGCUAAUUUUCUGUUUAUAGUCAUUAGCUGAAUCUCACUUUUAGGAGUCCUGAGUCCUUAGUUGAUCACUAUUCUGCUGUGUUGCUGUUGUUCCUUCCUACUGUGAGCUGAACUCCAUCUCUAUUUGUUUGAUAAUUGAUUGUCAGAUUUUAUCCCUUUACCUUCCUACUUUAGGUAUGUAAUGGUUUUCCUUUGACAGUGUCUUGUUGAGCAUAUAAAUGAAAGUUUGUUUCUGUUUGGUUAACUCAUGUUUAAGUUUGUGUAUUUGGUUGUGCUUGACUCCCAGAUUUGCCUAUGCUUGUUUUCUUUUGGAUUGCUUGUUUUACCUUGAAAGCUUAAGUUAAAGUUGCAUGUUUAUCUUGAUGAUGGCUUUUGUUAAUUCACGGCCUAGUCAAUGAAAAAAUUAGUUGCUCAAAUUGUAAAAAAUCAGUUGUCAUUUAAUCUGAGACUAUUCUAUUAUUAUCUAGCUAGCUAGUCAUGGCCUAAAAGGUCUGACCAAGUCGAAAGAUGCGUAGUCUUUGAGUUUGAUCACUAGUUGAUCAAACUUAUUGAUUGAAGUCUUUGGGAAGCCUGCAAGCUAUAGUGGAUGAAUUUGGAGGUCCAUAGCAUACCAAGUUUCUACGCUAGCAACUAUUGUAUUUGUAAUCACUGAUAGUCCCUGCUUUUUGAUGAGUUAAUUCGAAGCAAGAAGAAUUUUAUUUUCUUUGACAUACACAUGUUCUGAUUCGUGGAUAAUUGUACUUCUGGAGGAGUAUUUAAUUUAGUGGUUCAAGUAUUUAUAUUGACAACCCAGCUCGCUUUUGUAAUUCCAACCCAAGUAACUUGAUUAGUUCAUCUGGGAGUCAUUACUUGAUUAGUAUUUCUUAAAUUGUCUUCGAUGCAAUCUAGCUUCAUGUAACUUCUUUUGAUCACAUGUUUGUAUCAAUGUUAUUAUGAUUUAACACAUCAAUUUGAGACAGUACGUCAUUGUAAGUUGUUAAUUUAAUUGUCAAAAUAUUAGUUCGGUUUAAAUGAA
rnacentral:lncRNA from 1 species